CAGUAGCCGCGGGAAUACGUAGGUGGCAAGCGUUGUCCGGAAUUAUUGGGCGUAAAGGGCUCGCAGGCGGUUUCUUAAGUCUGAUGUGAAAGCCCCCGGCUCAACCGGGGAGGGUCAUUGGAAACUGGGAAACUUGAGUGCAGAAGAGGAGAGUGGAAUUCCACGUGUAGCGGUGAAAUGCGUAGAGAUGUGGAGGAACACCAGUGGCGAAGGCGACUCUCUGGUCCGUAACUGACGCUGAGGAGCGAAAGCGUGGGGAGCGAACAGGAUUAGAUACCCGCGUAGUCCCUGUCUCUUAUAC
rnacentral:rRNA from 1 species